GCCAGGCGUGGUGGUGGGCGCCUGUAAUCCUAGCUACCUGGGAGGCUGAGGCGGGAGAAUUGCUUGAACCUGGGAGGCAGAGGUUGCAGUGAGCCAAGAUCGUGCCACUGCACUCCAGCCUGGGUGACAGAGCAAGACUCUGUCUCAA
rfam:Pan troglodytes isolate Yerkes chimp pedigree #C0471 (Clint) chromosome 17, whole genome shotgun sequence.